rnacentral:rRNA from 1 species
GAUGAACGCUAGCUACAGGCUUAACACAUGCAAGUCGAGGGGAAACGGCAUUAAGUGCUUGCACUUUUUGGACGUCGACCGGCGCACGGGUGAGUAACGCGUAUCCAACCUUCCCAUGACUAAGGGAUAACCUGCCGAAAGGCAGACUAAUACCUUAUGGUCUUCUCUGACGGCAUCAGAUGUGAAGUAAAGAUUUAUCGGUUAUGGAUGGGGAUGCGUCUGAUUAGCUUGUUGGCGGGGUAACGGCCCACCAAGGCAACGAUCAGUAGGGGUUCUGAGAGGAAGGUCCCCCACAUUGGAACUGAGACACGGUCCAAACUCCUACGGGAGGCAGCAGUGAGGAAUAUUGGUCAAUGGGCGAGAGCCUGAACCAGCCAAGUAGCGUGCAGGAUGACGGCCCUAUGGGUUGUAAACUGCUUUUGUAUGGGGAUAAAGUCAAUCACGUGUGAUUGUUUGCAGGUACCAUACGAAUAAGGACCGGCUAAUUCCGUG